ensembl:lncRNA
CCUUAUUCCAACCAGUAAGCUGCCUCUUACUCCAUGACACACGGAUGCCUCUGGACAAAGCUGACCAUAGAAGGGCCUUCCAGAAUUGAUCUUGCAGCCUGCCUCCUUGGCCUACAGGGCUUUGCCCUGGAGACAUCAAUAAGAGACUCAGUUUACUUCUGUCCAGAAACCAGCAGGGCCUCCUUGCCCUCAGGCCAAGGAUUUACCUACCACUCUUCUCUGAAUCAGAGGUCUUCUGCAUGGCUGGCAUUCACCAAAGACAAGGCAGCAGCUGGAGAUCAGAAUCUUCAUCGUUUCCUCAUUCUGAAGAGUUGGACUCGACAGGAACCAAUGGAAAAGUGAACAUUUGAGUCAAUCGACAGGAUGUUUUUUGGUCAACCAAUACCCAACAACUGUUUCUAAAGGGUUUGUCCCCACCUCCACCCCCCACCCCGCAACUGGAGUGGUGAGUUUUCUCUUUAGCUGAAUUCACCAGAUGUUUUGGCGGUACAUAAACCUGGCUUUCCCGUCUUCCAAGUGGAUGAAAUAGGAUCCAAAUCACAG